AGCAGCCGCGGUAAAUUCCAGCUCCAAUAGCGUAUAUUAAAGUUGUUGCAGUUAAAAAGGCUCGUAGUUGAAUUUCAGGAUUUUACCGUUGGUCGGGCUAUCCGGUCUGUACUAGCGUGUAGAAUUCUUACCUUCUGGGGAACCAUCAUGUUAUUAAUUUAGCGUGGUGGGAAACCAGGACCUUUACCUUGAAAAAAUUAGAGUGUUCAAAGCAGGCUUACGUCUGAAUACAUUAGCAUGGAAUAAUAGAAUAGGACGGUGGUCCUGUUUUGUUGGUUUCUGAAUCACCGUAAUGAUUAAUAGGGAUAGUUGGGGGCAUUAGUAUUCAAUUGUCAGAGGUGAAAUUCUUGGAUUUAUUGAAGACUAACUUCUGCGAAAGCAUUUGCCAAGGAUGCUUUCA
rnacentral:rRNA from 1 species